CGCGUAGGCGGCCUGCUAAGUAUGGAGUGAAAGUCCUACUUUCAAGGUGGGAAUUGCUUUGGAUACUGGUGGGCUGGAGUGCAGGAGAGGAAAGCGGAAUUACCGGUGUAGCGGUGAAAUGCGUAGAGAUCGGUAGGAACACCAGUGGCGAAGGCGGCUUUCUGGACUGAAACUGACGCUGAGGCGCGAAAGCGUGGGGAGCAAACGG
rnacentral:rRNA from 1 species